rnacentral:tRNA from 1 species
GAAAUCAAGAGCAUAUGGUGGAUGCCUAGACACAAAACGGCGAUGAAGGACGUAGCGUAGCUGCGAUAAGCUUCGGGGAGGUGCCAAGCAACCUUUGAUCCGGAGAUCUCCUAAUGGGGGAACCCAACCCGAUGAAUACGGGUUACUAUGUACUUGAUACAUAGAGCUUACCUGGGGAAGUGAAACAUCUCAGUACCCAGAGGAAUAGAAACUAAUAAGUAUUUCCUUAGUAGCGGCGAGCGAAAAGGAAGAAGCCCAAACCGAGCUUCAUUCUGACAAUACAAUUCGUUGUGUUGUUGGAGUGAUGCUCGGGGUUGUAAGACAGUGACGUGGUUUUUAAAUCAGAAGAGUCAAAAAAUAAAUGAUUAGGAGAAUGUGCUGGGAAGCACAACCCAAGAGGGUAAUAGUCCCGUAAACGAAAAUCAUUUAUCUCUUUUGUCAUUGAUAUCUUGAGUAGCUCAAGACACGAAUAGCUUGAGUGAAUUAGCCGGUACUAACCGGUAAGGCUAAAUACGUUUUGUGAUCGAUAGUGAACUAGUACCGUGAGGGAAAGGUGAAAAGUAGCCCGGAUAGGGCAGUGAAAUAGACCUGAAACCAUAUGCUUACAAGGAGUAGGAGCUCGCGCUUGCGUGAGUGACUGCGUUCCUAUUGAAGAAUGAGCCAACGAGUUAAUAUACGCAGCAAGGCUAAGGCCUGAUCGGCUGGAGUCAUAGGGAAACCGAGUGUGAAUAGCGCGUAUGUCAAUGCAUAGCAUUGGAAAUUCCAAACAACAAAACCCAAAUCACAAACAAAUUCAAAAUUCUAAUUUUCGAAUAUCAAAACACGUUUUGAGUAUUUGGAUUUUUGUCAUUGAGUAUUGUUUGUUAUUUGGUGCUUAGAAUUUGGUGCUUCCACUGCUGUGCAGCGGCAAGUUGUGUAUAUUAGACCCGAAGCCAGGUGAGCUUACCAUGAGCAGGGUGAACUUUGUCGAAAGACAAAGGGAGGCCCGAACCGAUACGUCGUUCAACUCGUUCGGAUGACUUGUGGUAUGGAGUGAAAAGCUAAUCGAACCUGGUAAUAGCUGGUUUUCUCCGAAAUAGCUUUAGGGUUAGCGUCAUGUGUUCCUCUGAGGGGUAGAGCACUGGAAGGUUUCGACAGGGAGCAAUCUCGCGAAACCUAUCAAACUCCGAAUACUCAGAAUUAAAACAUGGCAGUUAGACUGUGGGCGCGAAGGUCCAUCGGUCGAAAGGGAAACAGCCCAGAUCUCAAGUUAAGGUCCCCAAAUCCAUACUCAGUGCACUUAAGGAGGUGAGAUUUCUCUGACAAUGAGGAGGUUGGCUUAGAAGCAGCCAUCCUUUAAAGAUAGCGUAACAGCUCACUCAUUUAGAGAUUUUGCGCCGCAAAUUAUCGGGGCUUAAGUAUGGUACCGAAACUGAGGGCUUGUAGAUUUCAUUGAAGGUUUUUGUAGUAAUGUAGAGUCGUAGUUCAAUUGGACAGAACAUCGGAUUUAGUCCGAAGGUUGUGGGUUCAAGUCCUACCGACUCUGCCAUUACUUUGUUCUUUUUAUUGAGUGUCCUGUAGCUCAGCGGCGAGAUGAGUGCCACACGCUUAAUACAAAAUUUAUCCAACUGCUUGCUAGCGGGCGUUGGGAAAGGAUGUGUUGAGGCGCACUGUACUUGAGAGUACCGAGUUGUUAACUCGGAAGUCGCUGGUUCGAAUCCAGCCAGGACAACCAAUUUACACGGCAAGUCGAUUUACAAAAUCGACUUGCCCCUUCAAUGAAGUCUAUGAGCGGUAGGAGAAUAUUCGUGUCUGCGAUGAAGCAGUAUCUGCGAGGAGCUGUGGAGCGUCACGAAGCACAAAUGUUGGCACAAGUAACCGCAAUGCAAGUGAGAUUCUUGCACGCCGAAAGACUAAGGUUUCCUUGACGAUGAAGAUCAAUCAAGGGUUAGUCGGGCCUAAGGAGAUGGCGAAAGCCGCAUCCGAUGGACACAUGGUUAAUAUUCCAUGACUUCGUAUACAAGUGAUGAGAGGACGGAGGGUAGUAUGUAGAGUGCAUUAUUGGAUUUGCAUUCAAUGCUUGAGGGAGAUACGUAGGUAAAUCCGCGUAUCAUUAAUUCCAAGAGUAGUGAAGAUGCUUUGCUUCGGUGAAGUAAAUUCUACAAAGCACGCUUCCAAGAAAAUUCUCUAAACUUAUUGUAUAUGGAUCCGUACCGUAAACCGACACAGGUAGUCAGGUCGAGAAGACCAAGGCGAACGAGUGAUCGCUCCUCAAGGAACUCGGCAAAAAAGCAGCCGUACCUUUGGUAUAAGGCUUGCCUCUCGCAAGAGAGGCCGCAGCGAAAGAUCCCUGGCGACUGUUUAUCAAAAACACAGCUCCCUGCGAACUUGUAA